AUUGAACGCUGGCGGCAUGCUUUACACAUGCAAGUCGAACGGUAACAGGCCGCAAGGUGCUGACGAGUGGCGAACGGGUGAGUGAUGCAUCGGAACGUGCCCAGUCGUGGGGGAUAACGCAGCGAAAGCUGUGCUAAUACCGCAUACGAUCUAUGGAUGAAAGCGGGGGACCGUAAGGCCUCGCGCGAUUGGAGCGGCCGAUGUCAGAUUAGGUAGUUGGUGGGGUAAAGGCCUACCAAGCCGACGAUCUGUAGCUGGUCUGAGAGGACGACCAGCCACACUGGGACUGGGACACGGCCCAGACUCCUACGGGAGGCAGCAGUGGGGAAUUUUGGACAAUGGGCGCAAGCCUGAGCCAGCAAUGCCGCGUGCAGGAAGAAGGCCUUCGGGUUGUAAACUGCUUUUGUACGGAACGAAACGGUCUGGGUUAAUACCCUGGGCUAAUGACGGUACCGUAAGAAUAAGCACCGGCUAACUACGUGCCAGCCGCCGCAGUAA
rnacentral:rRNA from 1 species